rnacentral:rRNA from 1 species
GGGUCAGUAGGUUGGUCGUGCCACCGGUACGUACUGGUCUCACUGAUUCCUCCUUCCUGAAGAACCUUAAUGCCAUUAAUUUGGUGUUGCGGGGAAACAGGACUGUUACUUUGAAAAAAUUAGAGUGUUUAAAGCAAGCUAACGCUUGAAUACAUUAUCAUGGAAUAAUGAAAUAGGACGAUCGAUCCUAUUUUGUUGGUUUCUAGGAUUGACGUA